GGAGCACUGUAACAAAGAAAUAAUUUCCCCCAGGGAUCAAUAAAGUAUUCUGAUUCUGUUCAUCUGGAAUGAUGAUGGAGUCUUGAGCAAUUUGGGCUUUCAGGUAUUUCUUGCACCUUUCUGAGGGAAGAGGGGCUCCAGAACUGUCAUCACCUUCUGCCUCACUGAGGGCCACAACAGUGAUAGCACGUAGGAGCUGUUUUGCAUGGGCCAAACAUUGUGACUGAAGAAGUUUUGCUAAUGACCUGACAAAGAAAUCUUUAACACGGUGUGUUUUCUUCUUCAGGCAGUCCCACUGACAUAUCAUCUUGAUGCAGUGCGCAACAUCAACCCUGAUAAAACAUGGGGGGAGUUUGGCAGACUGGGUUCCAAGAAGGACAUGAAAGCAUUCAUUAAGAGUGGCCAAAUUUGGAAGGUGGCUUGGCUCAGGAUCUCCAACAUCCAUCAGAUCUGCUGCCUUCGCUGACCUCCAUACAGCCGGUUCCAUUCUGCCCUCUCACAGCUCUUUAGAGAUCUGUUCACGCAGGUUUCCAGACAUGAACCGCUUGGAGUGGCCAGUGUGCAGGGAGAGAUCUGUAUUUCUCAUGAAACACUGGAGCACCAUUGGACUAUUAAUUGCUGGCUGUCUGUCACAUGACAUUUCGAACUGGCCAUGACACUCCUUACAGUCGCCUCUGAUGUCCAGAUAAUUAUUGUUGACAGUUGGAUGGACCUUUGCUCUUCGAAACACAAGUGUACAUGUAUUUUUGAUCUUCUUCCAUAUAAGAUCGUUGAUGAUAUGAGUCCAAGUGCCAGGUUUCAAAAUUGUGUAUUCCCUUUUUUGGGUAGGAGAAAACUUGUCAUUGUAUUCAACCUUUUCAGGAAUAAAUUUAACCCAGUCCUCAAAAGGGACUUCUAGUUCA